GGGGGCUCGUCCGGGAUUUGCGACCACCCUUCACCUGAGUGGAUUCGAUCUUGGAGUUUAUAAUGUCAGACAGACUGCCAGAUCCUGACAGUGACCCAAAGUCUCCAAAGAAGAUUAUGAGGCAACCCAGUUCCUGCACCUGGACCAGUGAGCGAGAUGCUCAGAUGUGAUACCUACCGCCUGCCAGAACCUGGCCGAGACUGUGGACAAAGCUGCUGGACACUGGAAAAUUGAUUGUACACCUUUGCCUAGACAAAACAAGGUUUCUGCUUCUGGCAGACAUCUGAGUAUCAGUUGCUGACUACAGGCUGUUCUAAGUAGACUUCGAGCCCUGGAUUUGCUGUGGAAGUGAACCAGUCCAGCUGGUGUGGACACCCCCUGUCUCUGCAACAGUGUCUGCUAACCAGAAGCCCCUGAUGGAUUCCCCAUUGCCUAAAUUCCUUUUUGCUUUUGACUAGCAUUUCAACCUUCUGGGGUCCCUAACUUCGUCCCAAAGUCAGCAGGAAGCAGUUUGGAAAAGAAUUUCAGCGCCCAUUUUCCCUGGUUAAAAUGCUAAGUCAAAAGGAA
rnacentral:lncRNA from 1 species